CAGAAGGCUGUGAUGUUGAAACCUACCUAUUUCAUGAAGGGUUUUUAUAGCCAUCUCGUGAUUAUAAAGGCAUCAAUCGAUUCUUCUGAGCCUCCU